GCCCAGGUCCUUAGAAAAAGAGAGAGGCUGGGUAAAGAAGUCGAGACCAGAGUAACCGGUUUAGGGCGUCAGGAGUGAGGGGCUGGGCUAGAACCUGGUCUGCGCCAUUAAUUCCAGGCAGAGAAAACCUUCAGCAUUCACCUCCCUCAAAGGCUGGGGAAAAGAGGGAAAACCGCACCCGUGCUGGAAGUACAACAGAGAGGGACAGAGGGAAGGAUGCACUUCCCUGUGUGAUUUUCCUAACUGCAGUACUGGCUUCUAUCGCCUUUGGAAAACAUCGUCCUAGGAAAGAGUUCCCUCAAGUACAAGAGGCCCUGAGCUGCGGAGCACCCAGCAACGCGCCAGCACCCUAAAGUAUUUCACAGCCCCGAGUCCAGUGCUCAAGGAGAUGCGGAGAGACCAACAGAAACCAGUGGCACAGGGCAGCUCACUCCCCUGGGAGGGCGUCUGGCAAUCAGCACGCCACCAGCUGCAGGAAGAUGCCCACAGUCAAAAUAGCAACUGACGUGGGGACACAAGAAGGAGAGGGAGCUAAAAUAAGCACACAAUCCUCCCUGGUGACAUCCAGAAACACCACCUCCCCUCUGUCCUUGGGGACACCUUCCUAUGGGGACACGCUUGCCACUUUAUGGGCUUUAUGCUGCCACCAGGUGGGCUUCCCAUGUGUCCCAUUACAGCACAGGUUCUUAAAAGGCCAUGUCAGGUCCUCGUGCAUUUUCAAAUAUGCUCCUGUAAAACCCUGGGAGGUGUUCCGCUCCACAGUUCAAAGGAUGUACGUGUCAUCCAAAAUUGCAAGCAGAAAAAUUAAGUUAAUGGGCUGAAUUCUCAAUUUUAAGUUCUCUCAUACAUUAUUUCUCAAAUUCUUUGGUGUCUCCUACUACUUGCCUAAGAGCAACCACAAAAUAAAUAAACAAGUAGCAAACAAACCUUGAAGGAAAACUCAGCUUGCUGUUUGACAGAUAUUAUAUGCUUGGGAAUAUGAUUUCAUAUUGUUUACGGCAUCCAAAUAUAGAGCUAUGUGUCCCUCAAAAUUAAUCUGUUGAAAUCCUAAUCCCC